rnacentral:rRNA from 1 species
GUGCCAGCAGCCGCGGUAAUACCGGCAGCCCGAGUGAUGGCCGAUCUUAUUGGGCCUAAAGCGUCCGUAGCUGGCCGACCAAGUCUCCCGGGAAAUCCACCCGCCCAACGGGUGGGCGUCCGGUAGAAACUGGCCGGCUUGGAACCGGAAGGCUCGAAGGGUACGUUCGGGGUAGGAGUGAAAUCCCGUAAUCCCGGACGGACUACCGAUGGCGAAAGCACUCUGAGAAGACGGCUUCGACAGUGAGGGACGAAAGCUCGGGUCUCAAACCGGAUUAGAAACCCUAGUAGUCC